AACAAACCAUCUCGCUCCAAUAACCUUUUUGUUGCAAUGCUUAGCAGGGUUGAAUUGAUCACCGGACUGGCAGAAACCCUUCCAGCUUGGAGGAAUUGUUCCCAGCCCUUCAUCACUGAAAGCCUUCGACUCUGGCCAUAUCCCUGCAGCAAGCAUAUCAUAAUGUGAUUCUGUAGUAUGAUUUGGGUCAUCGUGCUGUCGGGCUCCUAGAUAAACAAUGUAGACCUGUGGUUUGCACAUAAUCAGCAUGCUAUAGACCACUCUCCUUGCCCUUACCGCUGAAUUACAGUGGAGAAGGAACAAUCAAAAGGAAAGAACAUUACAUUACUGGGUUCUUGAGCAUAGGCGUUCUCGAGCAUACUGAGGCGGGCAACAAGCAGCAGAUGAACAACCUGCAGUGCAACAAAGAAGGAGAAUGCAAGGCUUGUGCAUGGUGGUUGGAUGAAGUUUUGCAGUGAAGGAUUCCCUUUACGAUUCUAACCAAGCAACAGAUUAUUACACUCCAAGCUUUCAGCAGCAUUUAAGGUACGUCCCUUUACAGUUUAGGUUUUUGCUGUUUAUCUUCUACUAUUUAUCAAUCUAUCACUUAUAUUUCUGUUCAAGCACGUUAUCUUAUAAAUACAUAAGAAAUGCAUACACCAUUACCUUAUUGGAAUCAGCUUGAAAAUAUUGGAACUGGAAACCAUUAACCUAAACCGUAAACCCAUUACCUAAUACUAUCUUUGCAUCUUUGCUAGUUUUUAUUAGUUCUAGUCAUUAAAAAAGAUGAAAAAUUGGAAUCAGAAUUAGAAUUCAUUACUAGUAUGCUUUACUUGCUGUAUUGUGUUGUUAAAAAUGAAAAUAAUAUGAAUUUGUGUUUUUAAAAUUUAAUUUUAUGUAUUCAUAUUCAAAUUUGGGAGAAAAUUGCAAAAAAUAAAAUAAAAUUAAUUCUCCACGUAUACUCAAAUCACUUUUGUCUUUAUAUCCCACACAUUUGCAAAUGUUUAUUUCUGUUAUUAGGUCUCACGUGAAUAGGUAAACGUGUAAAAUAUAUUUUUUCAGUGAUAAUUGAGUAUAAAUAGAGGAAAUUUUUUUUUUGCAAUUUUCCUCAAAUUUGAUCAUAGUUAAGAAGGUAUGGAAGUAAAUUAAUGAAAUCUAUAAUUUAAACUAUUAAGUUAAUUUGAGUU